rfam:Oryza rufipogon genomic scaffold, chr05
AAUAAACGUAAGUACGAGUUUCCGUGUCCAACUUUGAUCGUCCAUCUUAUUUAAAUUUUUUUAUGAUUACUAUUUUUUUUAUUAGAUUGUAAAACAUGAAUAAUACUUUAUGCGUUACUUAUGUUUUUUUAGUUUUUUUAAAAAAAAUAAAAUAAGAUGAACGCAUC